GGAGGAAAGUAGGGGAUCGCAAGACCUUGCGCUUUUUGAGCGGCCGAUGCCUGAUUAGCUAGUUGGUAAGGUAAUGGCUUACCAAGGCAACGAUCAGUAGCUGGUCUGAGAGGACGACCAGCCACACUGGGACUGAGACACGGCCCAGACUCCUAUGGGAGGCAGCAGUGGGGAAUUUUGGACAAUGGGCGAAAGCCUGAUCCAGCCAUGCCGCGUGAGUGAAGAAGGCCUUCGGGUUGUAAAGCUCUUUCGGUCGGGAAGAAAUAGUUGUGGCUAAUAUCCACAAUGAAUGACGGUACCGACAUAAGAAGCACCGGCUAACUACGUGCCAGCAGCCGCGGUAAUACGUAGGGUGCAAGCGUUAAUCGGAAUUAUUGGGCGUAAAGGGUGCGCAGGCGGUUGUAUAAGUCAGAUGUGAAAUCCCUGGGCUUAACCUAGGAAUUGCGUUUGAAACUACAAAGCUAG
rnacentral:rRNA from 1 species